AGCUCAGUCGGUAGAGCACUUGACUUUUAAUCAAGUUGUCCGGGGUUCGAAUCCCCGC
rnacentral:tRNA from 1 species